AAGAAAAAACAGGAAAACGACUGUGAGGGUAGCUAGUCAGCUAACUUGCCAGUCAAGUCUGGGCGAAACCACCUGGGCGCAAAAAAACAGAAGACCACUGUGUUCUCGGAGCGUAGAAUGGCUCAGUUAGUGGGGUGAUCUAGCAUAUAACUCAUUCAAGUGUGGAAGGGAGUAGAGCUAGAUGACAGCUGGGAAGCUAGCUGACGUUUGAGAAAAAGCUAGCUAGCCAGGUAGGCAGCUAGACAGACUACCUUCCUAAAAGUCAGGUAGAGAAAGUGACAACUUCGUUCAGUUCACAACGACGCCUGUACAAUCGCCAAUAUGACACGGGGCAACGGCAGCCAAGAAACAGCAGACAGGACUCUCAGUCGACAAAAUGAAGUGAACAGGAAGUUAAAGUACACUAGUCUGGCGAUCCUGGUGGUCCAGAAUGCCUCGCUCAUCCUCAGCAUCCGCUAUGUACGUACGCUGCCUGGUGACCGCUUCUUCACCACCUCUGCCGUGGUAAUGGCAGAGGUUCUUAAGGUGCUCACCUGCCUGCUUAUCAUCCUGGUACAGAAGAGAGUGAACAUCAGGGACUUUGUCCUGUCCCUGUAUGAUUCCAUCGUGGUGCAAUACAAAGACACCCUGAAGCUGGCCGUGCCCUCGCUAAUCUACACCCUGCAGAACAACCUGCAGUAUGUGGCCAUCUCCAACCUGCCCGCAGCCACCUUCCAGGUGACGUACCAGCUGAAGAUCCUGACCACAGCUCUGUUCUCGGUGCUGAUGCUGAGAAAGAGUCUGUCCAGGGUCCAGUGGAUCUCCCUGCUGCUGCUGUUUGCUGGUGUAGCCAUCGUACAGGUGGAGCAGGAGGGUAAGGUUAAGGAGACCAGCGUGAAGGGAGGAGCCAGCCAGAACUACGCUAAAGGCCUUGUGGCAGUGGUGGUGUCCUGCCUGUCCUCGGGCUUCGCAGGGGUCUACUUUGAGAAGAUCCUGAAGGGCAGCUCGGCGUCCGUCUGGAUCCGCAACGUCCAACUGGGCAUCUUUGGCACCCUGAUGGGGUUGCUGGGGCUCUGGUGGAACGAUGGGGAGGCCAUGGCGGAAACCGAGCGCGGCUUCCUGCACGGGUACACCCCCAUGGUGUGGGGCGUGAUCUUCAACCAGGCGUUCGGAGGCCUCCUGGUGGCCGUGGUGGUGAAGUACGCCGACAACAUCCUGAAAGGCUUCGCCACGUCCUUCUCCAUCAUCGUCUCCACCGUGACCUCCGUCUACCUCUUCGGAUUCCACGUGGACCUCCUGUUCACCGUGGGGGCGGGGCUAGUGAUAGGAGCCGUCUAUAUGUACAGUCUGCCCAAGCCUGCAGGCCCCACCCCUUCCACUGCUGGCCCCUCCCUUUCUUCCUCCAGCCCACCGCGGGGCGAGCUGGGCGACGGUGUUGGGGACUCGGAGCUGGACGCUUUCCUCCCAAAGUCAUCACUCAGUGUCCUGGGCCUGGUUUGAAAACUCUGCCCUCCCUCCCUGAAGACGAUCAUCUCUAAUUUAACAUGAGUGGUGACCAGGGGUCUUCUGCAGAACUAGCCCCUAGCCAGUCAUGUCACACCAGUGGAAAGCGAGAAGAAUGAGUUUUGAAACUUGGCCCACUUAUGUGGGGUGGGGAAGUCUUGAUUUGGUCAUAAUGAUUUUUCUCGUUGCUACGUUGUGGCUUUAUUGCCAUUUCUAUUGAAGGUUGUUUCUAUAUAUUUAAGGUGAUAUCCCAAUGUAAUAUGGAAGGUAGAGGUAUUUUGUAUUUGCCAAAAAAUACUUUUUUUUUUGUUAAAGAUGUCAAGAUGGGCCAUCUUUCGGCGGGGGGAAGUUUUCAUGUUAAUGUGUUUACGUUACGAUGAUGGUGAGGAGGUGGGGUAUGACUGGGAGCAAAGCUGCUUCGUACUCCUGACAGGAAGCCCAUGGCUGCGUAUGAGCAUGCCAUUCAUCCACAUUCAUUCACAUAGAUCAUUUAUACAUUCUCGACGACUAACUAUCAAGAGACAUUGUUAACCAUCCACCAACUCUCAACACAGCCAUAUCAACAGAAUUACAGUUGCUAGGCUAGUUUUACAGUUGGAACACUUGUGAAUCAUUGAUGGUGGCCUACUGAAAAGUAUUGCCUCCAUACAUGAGUCACAGACCACAUGUAAGCAUGUCCAGAACACUUAUGUCUGAGUAGCAUAGCCCAACCUGUGCCGUACAAGAGGAGUCCUCCAUGGGCUUUGUACUGUCAGUGGGCCUGUGCAGAACUGUCUUUGAUGCUGGUAAGACCUGAGUCCAAAUACCAUUUAGAAUCAGUUCAGUGACUUAUCUGUGCAUGACUGCUCUCAUCUGGCACAAUGGAACAUAGCCAGUUCGCCCCUGGAAAUGUGAAUAUUCGUAUUUGGAGCCAGGUUUAGUGCAAAUACAAAGCUCAACUGGCCUUCAUCUUGUGUCUUACAUCCACCUCCAUAUUGUUCAUCUCUUCAACAUCUCUGUGGGUGGGUUGAGAAAAUGAAACGAUGGAAAAAUUUCAUGAAGAAAAAGGAAGGCAAUAGUUGUCAUUUUUACUUAAUUUUUACUUAUUGAGUUUUGCACUUCAUUUGUACGAAUGCCUGUCUGUAUUUGUACUUCUUCAAGUAAAACUUUUAUAAAACGGGACAUGGUUUAAACCCCGCUUCCAAUGUUGUCUUACUUUACAUGGUUAUAUUGCAAAAGAUCUUCUAGGGUGAAUAUGGUUAAAUACUCAAAUAGAUGUUUCUACUCUUCAGGUCUUCAAUCAUACUUGGUUGAAAACAAGCUAUUCCACAUUGUUGUUGUCUAGCCUGUCAUAUUAUUUGAGAUCUUAAACACACCCUGUAGGAAGGAUUGGCUGACUCUCGACAGAUUCUUUGUCAUGUCCUAGAAUGACUACCUGUUGAACCUGUAGAACCUGAGAUCCUGCCAUUCUGCAUGCCACACUGGGAGAAAUCAAAAGAGAGAGGCAGAAGACCUCAGGAAAGGAGAAAGGAUGCUGAGCACAAUGACUCCUACUCCAUGACUGGCCCUCACUCCAUGACUGGCCCUCACUCCAUGACUGGCCCUCACUCCAUGACUGGCCCUCACUCCACACCUGCCCACCAUGCCAAAAGAGAACCUAACUUCCGGAAUGACAAGUGCCUUUAGAAGCAUGAAGAUUCCAAAGCACAGUGAUCUAGAACACCAGCUCAACUGACAGCUGGGUACACAGGAUUUUAAGUGGCACUUAAAUGGUGCUUAGUUUACAUGUAACUGGUCCUAAACUGAAACACGCAUUGUUUUCACAUUGUUGCCUUUAACUUGAUAUAUCUUGGUCUGAAAUUAACUGCCUUUUUCUACGUUUAACUUUUGCAUUAUCUGCUGUUGGGUUUAAUCCCAAUGGUUUUAUUAAUCCUAUUUUAUCCGUUUUGAUCCUUUUUUCUAUAAGAAUGUUUUGUGACCCUGCUGGAAAUGUGUUAGUCUCUGGUCCCCUCUCCUGGCUGAAGUCCUAACUGUAAGCCUAGCUUGUUGCCCCACAUGGAGUGCUAUACGAGAAAGCAGUGCACUGCAUCCAGGACUACGACAGGCUGGCAGAAGUCAGUCACUAGGAUCAUUUUUCUUAAUGUCAUGUUUUUAGACGUCAACUAUUUCAUUGUCAUUGUCUGAAGGUUGUAUGACACUAUCAGGAACAGAGUUAUCAUUGUCUGAUUGAAAUGUGAAUGUGGAAUAUAUGUCCAUCCAUAUCAUCAUCACUUUUGACAAUAAGCAUAUAUUUAUCAAUAGGAAUAUAGAUUUAUAAUAAAGCUAAU